UGUCUGGGAAACUGCCCGAUGGAGGGGGAUAACUACUGGAAACGGUAGCUAAUACCGCAUAACGUCUACGGACCAAAGAGGGGGACCUUCGGGCCUCUUGCCAUCGGAUGUGCCCAGAUGGGAUUAGCUAGUAGGUGGGGUAAAGGCUCACCUAGGCGACGAUCCCUAGCUGGUCUGAGAGGAUGACCAGCCACACUGGAACUGAGACACGGUCCAGACUCCUACGGGAGGCAGCAGUGGGGAAUAUUGCACAAUGGGCGCAAGCCUGAUGCAGCCAUGCCGCGUGUAUGAAGAAGGCCUUCGGGUUGUAAAGUACUUUCAGCGGGGAGGAAGGGAGUAAAGUUAAUACCUUUGCUCAUUGACGUUACCCG
rnacentral:rRNA from 1 species